rnacentral:lncRNA from 1 species
GCAGCUCAGCGGCUCAGGAGGCUAAGGCAGAAGGAAUGCAAGUUCAAAGCCAGCCUCAGAAAUUUAGCAAGGCCCUAAGCAACUCAGGGAGACCCCUGUCUCUAAAUAAAAUAUAAAAAGGGCUGGAGAUGUAGCUCAUUGGUUAAGCACCCCUGGGUUCAAUCCCCGGUACCCCUCCACACACAAAAAAAUCUAUCACUAGGCUACACCACCAGCCCUUUCUCUCUUCUUUUUUUGAUUUGAAACAGGGUCCUACUGAAUGGCCCAGGCUGCCCAUGAACUUGAGAUUCUCCUGCCUCAGGCUCCCAAGUAACUGGGAUUAUAAAUCUAUGCCACCACACCCUGCAGGAUUGACCCUUUAUAUAACAUUUCUCUCUGUGGUACUUUGCUUUGAAAUCUGCUUCAUUGUAUGUUAAUAUGUUUAAUGUUUUCAUGAUAUGUAUUUUCCCAUCCUUUUUACUUAAAACUUGUUUAUAGCUUUAUAUUUGGAGUGAGGUUUUUUUGUAAACAGUAUAUGGUUGGGUCAUGUUUUUAUAUAUACUCUGCCAAUCUCUAUCUUUAAUUUGUAUAUUCAAUGCAAAUAUUGCUAUGGUGGGGCUUAAGUGUGCCAUUUUACUUAUUAUUUUGGUUUGUACUCUCUGUUUUUUGUUUCACUAUUUUUCUUUUCCUACCUUCCUGUAGGUUAUUUGAAUGGUUUCAUGGAAUACCAUUUUUAUUUACUUCUAGUGAUUGUCAGCAUUGUCUCUUGGCAUAGUUUUUGAGAGGUUGCUCUAGGUAUUGUAUCACAUAUAAGUAACAACACAGUCUACUGGUGCUAAAUAGUUUUUGUGAAGUGUAGAAUCCUUCUAUCUUUUAUAUUCCUUUACCCUUCUACAGUUAUAGCAUAGGUGUUUUGAGUAGUUC